rnacentral:rRNA from 1 species
AGCAGCCGCGGUAAUUCCAGCUCCAAUAGCGUAUAUUAAAGUUGUUGCAGUUAAAAAGCUCGUAGUUGAAUUUCGGGAUCAUCAGGUCGGUCGUGCCUCCGGUAUGUACUGGUCUCGAUGGUUCCUCCUUCUUGUAGAACCGUAAUGCCAUUAAUUUGGUGUUGCGGGGAAACAGGACUGUUACUUUGAAAAAUUAGAGUGUUUAAAGCAGGCGAUCGCUUGAAUACAUUAGCAUGGAAUAAUGAAAUAGGACGUUCGAUCCUAUUUUGUUGGUUUCUAGGAUUGACGUAAUGAUUAAUAGGGAUAGUUGGGGGCAUUAGUAUUCAAUUGUCAGAGGUGAAAUUCUUGGAUUUACUGAAGACUAACUACUGCGAAAGCAUUUGCCAAGGAUGUUUUCAUUAAUCAAGACGAAAGUUA